rnacentral:rRNA from 1 species
AUUGAACGCUGGCGGCAGGCCUAACACAUGCAAGUCGAGCGGAUGAAGGGAGCUUGCUCCUGGAUUCAGCGGCGGACGGGUGAGUAAUGCCUAGGAAUCUGCCUGGUAGUGGGGGAUAACGUCCGGAAACGGGCGCUAAUACCGCAUACGUCCUGAGGGAGAAAGUGGGGGAUCUUCGGACCUCACGCUAUCAGAUGAGCCUAGGUCGGAUUAGCUAGUUGGUGGGGUAAAGGCCUACCGAGGCGACGAUCCGUAACUGGUCUGAGAGGAUGAUCAGUCACACUGGAACUGAGACACGGUCCAGACUCCUACGGGAGGCAGCAGUGGGGAAUAUUGGACAAUGGGCGAAAGCCUGAUCCAGCCAUGCCGCGUGUGUGAAGAAGGUCUUCGGAUUGUAAAGCACUUUAAGUUGGGAGGAAGGGCAGUAAGUUAAUACCUUGCUGUUUUGACGUUACCAACAGAAGAAGCACCGGCUAACUUCGU